rnacentral:rRNA from 1 species
UGGGGAAUAUUGCACAAUGGGCGCAAGCCUGAAGCAGCCAUGCCGCGUGUGUGAAGAAGGCCUUCGGGUUGUAAAGCACUUUCAGCGGGGAGGAAGGCGAUAAGGUUAAUAACCUCAUCGAUUGACGUUACCCGCAGAAGAAGCACCGGCUAACUCCGUGCCAGCAGCCGCGGUAAUACGGAGGGUGCAAGCGUUAAUCGGAAUUACUGGGCGUAAAGCGCACGCAGGCGGUCUGUCAAGUCGGAUGUGAAAUCCCCGGGCUCAACCUGGGAACUGCAUUCGAAACUGGCAGGCUAGAGUCUUGUAGAGGGGGGUAGAAUUCCAGGUGUAGCGGUGAAAUGCGUAGAGAUCUGGAGGAAUACCGGUGGCGAAGGCGGCCCCCUGGACAAAGACUGACGCUCAGGUGCGAAAGCGUGGGGAGCAAACAGG